AAACUAACAAGGAUUCCCCUAGUAACGGCGAGUGAAGCGGGAAAAGCUCAAAUUUGUAAUCUGGCACUUUCAGUGUCCGAGUUGUAAUCUCGAGAAACGUUUUCCGCGCUGGACCGCAUACAAGUCUGUUGGAAUACAGCGUCAUAGUGGUGAGAACCCCGUACGUGAUGCGGAUGCCCAGUGCUUUGUGAUACGUUUUCGAAGAGUCGAGUUGUUUGGGAAUGCAGCUCAAAUUGGGUGGUAAAUUCCAUCUAAAGCUAAAUAUUGGCGAGAGACCGAUAGCGAACAAGUACCGUGAGGGAAAGAUGAAAAGCACUUUGGAAAGAGAGUUAACAGUACGUGAAAUUGUUGGAAGGGAAACGCUUGAAGUCAGACUUGCUAGUCGGUUCGCCGAUUCGCAGGCCAGCAUCAGUUUUUGGGGGUGGAAAAGGGUAGAGAGAAUGUGGCAACUCCGGUUGUGUUAUAGCUCUUUACUGGAUUCAUCUUUGGGGACUGAGGUACGCAGUGUAUUGUUGCUCCGGCUUAUACACUUAGGAUGCUGGUUUAAUGGCUUUAAACGAC
rnacentral:rRNA from 1 species